GACGAACGCUGGCGGCGUGCCUAAUACAUGCAAGUAGAACGCUGAAGAGAGGAGCUUGCUCUUCUUGGAUGAGUUGCGAACGGGUGAGUAACGCGUAGGUAACCUGCCUUGUAGCGGGGGAUAACUAUUGGAAACGAUAGCUAAUACCGCAUAACAAUGGAUGACCCAUGUCAUUUAUUUGAAAGGGGCAAAUGCUCCACUACAAGAUGGACCUGCGUUGUAUUAGCUAGUAGGUGAGGUAACGGCUCACCUAGGCGACGAUACAUAGCCGACCUGAGAGGGUGGUCGGCCACACUGGGACUGAGACACGGCCCAGACUCCUACGGGAGGCAGCAGUAGGGCAUCUUCGGCAAUGGGGGCAACCCUGACCGAGCAACGCCGCGUGAGUGAAGAAGGUUUUCGGAUCGUAAAGCUCUGUUGUAAGUCAAGAACGAGUGUGAGAGUGGAAAGUUCACACUGUGACGGUAGCUUACCAGAAAGGGACGGCUAACUACGUG
rnacentral:rRNA from 1 species